rnacentral:rRNA from 1 species
CAGCCGCCGCGGGAAUACAGAGGGUGCAAGCGUUAAUCGGAAUUACUGGGCGUAAAGCGCGCGUAGGUGGUUUGUUAAGUUGGAUGUGAAAGCCCCGGGCUCAACCUGGGAACUGCAUCCAAAACUGGCAAGCUAGAGUACGGUAGAGGGUGGUGGAAUUUCCUGUGUAGCGGUGAAAUGCGUAGAUAUAGGAAGGAACACCAGUGGCGAAGGCGACCACCUGGACUGAUACUGACACUGAGGUGCGAAAGCGUGGGGAGCAAACAGGAUUAGAUACCCCUGUAGUCCCUGUCUCUUAUAC